ACUCCUACGGGAGGCAGCAGUGGGAAUAUUGCACAAUGGGAAGCCAUCGAUGCAGCGACGCAGCGUGCGGGAUGACGGCCUUCGGGUUGUAAACCGCUUUCAGCAGGGAAGAAGCGCAAGUGACGGUACCUGCAGAAGAAGUACCGGCUAACUACGUGCCAGCAGCCGCGGUAAUACGUAGGGUACGAGCGUUGUCCGGAAUUAUUGGGCGUAAGAGCUCGUAGGUGGUUGGUCACGUCUGCUGUGGAAACGCAACGCUUAACGUUGCGCGUGCAGUGGGUACGGGCUGACUAGAGUGCAGUAGGGGGAGUCUGGAAUUCCUGGUGUAGCGGUGAAAUGCGCAGAUAUCAGGAGGAACACCGGUGGCGAAGGCGGGACUCUGGGCUGUAACUGACACUGAGGAGCGAAAGCAUGGGGAGCGAACAGGAUUAGAUACCCUGUAGGCUCU
rnacentral:rRNA from 1 species